UACGUAGGGGGCAAGCGUUGUCCGAAUUUAUUGGGCGUAAAGAGCGUGUAGGCGGCCAUGUAGGUCCGUUGUGAAAACUCGAGGCUCAACCUCGAGACGCCGAUGGAAACCAUGUGGCUCGAGUCCGGAAGAGGAGAGUGGAAUUCCCGGUGUAGCGGUGAAAUGCGCAGAUAUCGGGAAGAACACCCGUGGCUAAGGCGGCUCUCUAGUACGGUACUGACGCUGAGACGCGAAAGCGUGGGGAGCGAACAGG
rnacentral:rRNA from 1 species